rnacentral:rRNA from 1 species
UACGAGUGCCCCAAGCGUUAUCCGGAAUCAUUGGGCGUAAAGGGUGUGUAGGUGGUGUUGUUAGUCUUCUGUCAAAAUCUUGGGCUCAACCCAGGUCUCGCGGGAGAAACGGCAAUACUAGAGGAUGUGAGAGGUAAAGGGAACUCAUGGAGUAGGGGUGAAAUCCGUUGAUAUCAUGGGGAACACCGAAAGCGAAGGCACUUUACUGGCGCAUUCCUGACACUGAGACACGAAAGCGUGGGUAGCGAACGGG